rnacentral:rRNA from 1 species
ACUUAAAUUGAAGAGUUUGAUCAUGGCUCAGAUUGAACGCUGGCGGCAGGCCUAACACAUGCAAGUCGAGCGGUAGCACAGAGAGCUUGCUCUCGGGUGACGAGCGGCGGACGGGUGAGU